AAAGAACACCCCAUGCAUUUAUUGCAUAGAAUGCUCUAACACCGCCAUUUGACACAGAUACAAAGACUAAACAAUGUAUCCCUGCCCUCAGACAACCUCCGGCCUGUUCCCCAGGGUGGGUACAAUGUACUCACAGCAACCCGCCUAUUGCUGAGUGUCUCAGGAUCGUCUGAAGGCACAGAGAGGUUAUGAGACUCACUCGUGGCCAUACG